CGUGUAGGCGGUUUGUUAAGUCUGAUGUGAAAGCCCCGGGCUCAACCUGGGAAGUGCAUUGGAAACUGGCAGACUUGAAUACGGGAGAGGGUAGUGGAAUUCCUAGUGUAGGAGUGAAAUCCGUAGAUAUUAGGAGGAACACCGGUGGCGAAGGCGGCUGCCUGGACCGAUAUUGACGCUGAGACGCGAAAGCGUGGGGAGCAAACAGGAUUAGAUACCCUGGUAGUCCACGCCGUAAACGAUGAGUACUAGGUGUUGCGGGUAUUGACCCCUGCAGUGCCGCAGCUAACGCGUUAAGUACUCCGCCUGGGAAGUACGGCCGCAAGGCUAAA
rnacentral:rRNA from 1 species